ensembl:lncRNA
ACAAGUAAUGUCUAGGUAGCGUGGCGGUGUGAAUAUUUAUUAGCACUUAUUCAAGCAAAGCUUUUUGACAAGACUGCUGCUUGUUUGUGCAGCAUAGCAGCUAAUGAAUAUAAAUAAAUAUAAAGGACGUAUCAAUUCCGAAAAUUACAGAUGCUAAAAGAAUGAAGAGAAUAUGGAAACAAGCUUUGAUCUAUCAUCAGUCGGGGGUAGAGAUUUUAACGAAGAGGCUUCCAAGCUAAUGUUUACACCACGCAAUAAAAUGCUUCACUUCCUGAAAAUGAUGAUUUUUUUUUAUCAUGGAAAAAAAAAGUUAUUUACAUUCAUGGCAUUUAUCCAGCGUCACUUACAGAAGUGCGAUUAUUUAAAACUCCCACCCAUGUAUUCAUUCUCACCACCUGCUUCUAUCCUUUCUUCCAGACUUUUACUCUCCUUUUUGUUUCCUCCUUUAUCUUACUUUUUCUUCCUUAUUUACCUUCAUGUUUCUGUCCUUCCUUCCCUUUCAGGUUUCUUUCCGUCCUUCGUUUGUUCUUUCCUUCUUUCUUGUGCUUUCGCCCAUCUUUCUUUCCUUUGCAUUCUUUUUUCCUCCCUUACCUUUUCUUCCAUAUUUCUCAUCUCUCUGUUCUUCCUUAUUGCCGUUUGUUUCUGUCCGUCUUUCCUCCCUUCUCUUUCAUGUUUCUUUACAUCCUUCCUUAUUCCUCCUUUCUCCCUUCCUUUUAGUCCUUUCCUUCUUCUUUUUCUCCUUAUUUGUUUGUUCCUUUGAUCUUUCUUUCCUCUCAUUCUUCUUCCAUCCUUCCUCAUUCCUUGUUUCUUUCCACUGCCUCCUUUCCUUCGCUUGUCUUUCAUUGCUUCCUCCUUUCUUACCUUACUUUUUCUUCCUUAUUUACUUUCAUGUUUCUGUCCUUCCUUCCUUACUUACUUCCUUCCCUUUCACAUUUCUUUCCUUCCUUCAUUUGUUCUUUCUUGAUAUGUUUUCGUCCGUCUUCUUCCUUGCAUCCUUUUUCUCCUUUUCGCUUCCCCCUUCUGACCUUUUCUUCCAUAUUUAUUUAAUUUCUCGGUCCUUCCUUCCUUAUUGCCGUUUAUGUUUCUGUCCUUCUUUCCGCCCUCCCUCCCUUCCUUCUCUUUCAUGUUUCUUUCCAUCCUUCCUUAUUCCUCCAUCCUUCCUCAUUCCUUGCUUCUUUCCUUUAUCCUCCUUUCCUUCUCUUUUUCAUUGUUUCCUUCUUUCUUUCCUUUCUUCUUCGUCCUUCCCUUAUUUCCUUACAUCUGCCUUUCCUGCUUUGUCUUCCUUUAUUUCCUUUCUUCCUUCAUUAUUUUUUCCCUUCCUUUCGUUCCUCCUUACUGUCCGACCUUCUUUCAUUACCUCAUUCCCUUGCUUCCGUCCAUCAUUCUUCCCUUUCCUUUCCUCCCUUCCUUCUUUAGGUCCUUCCCCAACAUGCAGUCACCUCAGGGUUAAACUUGUUGAGAGAAAC